rnacentral:rRNA from 1 species
UGGGGAAUAUUGCACAAUGGGCGCAAGCCUGAUGCAGCCAUGCCGCGUGUGUGAAGAAGGCCUUCGGGUUGUAAAGCACUUUCAGCGAGGAGGAAGGUGGUGAGCUUAAUACGCUCAUCAAUUGACGUUACUCGCAGAAGAAGCACCGGCUAACUCCGUGCCAGCAGCCGCGGUAAUACGGAGGGUGCAAGCGUUAAUCGGAAUUACUGGGCGUAAAGCGCACGCAGGCGGUUUGUUAAGUCAGAUGUGAAAUCCCCGGGCUCAACCUGGGAACUGCAUUUGAAACUGGCAAGCUAGAGUCUCGUAGAGGGGGGUAGAAUUCCAGGUGUAGCGGUGAAAUGCGUAGAGAUCUGGAGGAAUACCGGUGGCGAAGGCGGCCCCCUGGACGAAGACUGACGCUCAGGUGCGAAAAGCGUGGGGCAGCAAACAGGAUUAGAUACCCUGGUAGUCCACGCUGUAAAACGAUGUCGAUUUGGAGGUUGUGCCCUUGAGGCGUGGCUUCCGGAGCUAACGCGUUAAAUCGACCGCCUGGGGAGCACGGCCGCAAGGUU